rnacentral:sRNA from 1 species
GUUUCUGAGCUGCUUUUCUUUUCCCCUGUAGGUUAAUGGCACAGAUGCAGAUUAUGAAUAUGAAGAAAUCACACUUGAAAGGGGAAAUUCAGGGCUUGGUUUCAGCAUUGCAGGAGGUACGGACAACCCACACAUUGGAGAUGACUCAAGUAUUUUCAUUACCAAAAUUAUCACAGGGGGAGCAGCCGCCCAAGAUGGAAGAUUGCGGGUCAAUGACUGUAUAUUACGAGUAAAUGAAGUAGAUGUUCGUGAUGUAACACAUAGCAAAGCAGUUGAAGCGUUGAAAGAAGCAGGGUCUAUUGUACGCUUGUAUGUAAAAAGAAGGAAACCAGUGUCAGAAAAAAUAAUGGAAAUAAAGCUCAUUAAAGGUCCUAAAGGUCUUGGGUUUAGCAUUGCUGGAGGUGUUGGAAAUCAGCAUAUUCCUGGGGAUAAUAGCAUCUAUGUAACCAAAAUAAUCGAAGGAGGUGCAGCACAUAAGGAUGGCAAACUUCAGAUUGGAGAUAAACUUUUAGCAGUAAGUAUAAGAAAUCUAUUGUCUUUUAAAUCAUUUUGUAGUCUGUUUUUUUUCUGAUAGGUACUGGAAUUUCUCCAUACCAAAAAGGUCUAAAUGAUGUUUAAAUUAGCAAAUACUAGCCUUGCUGUAUCAAAUCCUAAAAAAUGAUUCUUGGUAAUUCUUUAUUUGUCAUUUCUCUUUUCUCUGCUAGCUCCUCCUCCCUUUUCCUUUUAUUCCU